CAGGACUGGGGCUGAAGCUGGCUCUUUGGUGGAUGAGCUGGCUGGGUCCUCAGGCUCCGUUCAUUGCUUGGUUACUCUCUGAGUCAGCACAGAGCAGGGGGCAGGCUGGGCUGGAACAAUGGCUGGCACCCAGCCGCUGGGGCAGGAAGGUCAGUGGUGACGGGGUCGCGGGCGCUCCAGGGCGCAGACCGAUUCCAGGGGGCAGGUGGAUGGAUCUGCCCAGAGGAGAGGCACCAGGGCACGACCCAUGCUGGGAACCUCUGACCUGCCUCCAUGAGCUGCCAGCCACAUCCUCUUCCUCCAGCAGUGGCUCUCUGCAUCUUCCCUCCUUUGGCCUAAACUCCUUCCCCCUCUGGUUUAGUUCCCCCUCCACCAGUAGCACCUCUGCCAAAGAAAGUCCUGCCUUCCUCCGGGGCAGGAGAACGAAGCCACGCUACAAAUGGGCUUGGGCCACCAGAAGAGGGGAAGAGCUCAGCAGAAGUUACCACCCAUCAUGUGGACGGACCUGGUGUUCCACCUUCCCCCAUGCCAGCCGCUGUUGGAAGACCUCCCACUGGCGAAGGCAGGAGAAGCCUGGAGAUCGGCUGGGCCCCCGGGGAAGGUGGCAGACUCCUCUGGUAGGGGGCACAGGACGGGCAGGCGGAAGGAGAGAAAGAAGCUAGCUCCUCGGGCCAUGGCCCCCCUCCUUGAACACAGGAGAGGAGGAACAGGGUCUUCUCCACCCAGCUGCAACACUUCAAAGACCCCUGCAGAGGCCCUGUCUGCUCCACAGCUGCCCAGAGAUGCAGCCAGCAGGGAGAAGCCCAAGCUCAGGAAGAUCUUGGUCGACCUUCGCCCCGUCCUGGAGAACGUCAUGGAGCCCUGGGACUCUUGGGAGGGGUGUUCAGAGACGAGGAGCGUCCGCAGCGCUGGGUGUUCUCCCCGGGAGCGUGGACAGCCCAGCAGGGGAGGCCGCGACAGCAGAGGUGGAGCCAGCGCCGCUGAAGAUCAGACUCACCGGGUCACCUCUCUGCCUCCCAUAGCGGCCCAGCCCAGAGACAGUGGCCAGGCUGCCGUGGCAUGUAAGCCACCCCUUAGCCAGGCGCAGGCUCCGAGAGACGGCGCGCUCGCCCGCCGGGCUGCUCCGAGGCAGGAGCCCACGGCUCCAGUGACCUUCCCGAAGAUAAGCCUCCAGCCAGAGCCAGCAGAGCAGCUGCCACCCCCUGAGCGGAGCAGCUCGGCAGAGACGGCUGGAGCUGGCAGCCUCCUGAGGCCAGAGCGCUCCCCAGCCAUCCAGCUCCCCACCCGGCUGCUCCUGCAGCGCCUCCAGGAGACCACGACCAGCCAGCACCACCAGCUGAUCGCUCAGGCGCUGCAGGCUCUGCGCAAGGAGCUGCAGGGGGAAGCGCCUGCCUCGCCCAGCGAAGGGGAGAGGUGGCGUUUGCUCCGGGAGCCUGCACUGAACAGGAAGGAUGAUGCCAGGAGGAGGAACAGGAAGCCCGUGGGGCUGCAUCCUGGGGCUGCAGAGAGGAGACUGGUGAAGCUCACCUGGAGGACAGGCAGCCCCAUUGCCGGCAAUACCAGGGAGGCAGCCUGCCCCCAAAUCCACCGCUGAGAGCCCCACACUGAGCAGCUUCAGCCAUGCAAACCUGCUCAGGCCCAUGUCAGAGCAGCACCGCCCUGCUGGAAGAGAAUACAGCGAGCCCAGCAAGUCAGGAGCAGAGCCAGAGAAGAUCCGGGGGAAGGGGAAUAAAGAGGAUUCAGAGGUUGCUGGAUCA
rnacentral:lncRNA from 1 species